rnacentral:rRNA from 1 species
UACGGAGGGGGCAAGCGUUAUUCGGAAUCAUUGGGCGUAAAGGGCGCGUAGGCGGCUUGGCAAGUCAAAGGUGAAAUCCCUCGGCCUAACCGAGGAACUGCCUUUGAAACUGCUUGGCUUGAGGCCGGGAGAGGGUAGCGGAAUUCCCAGUGUAGCGGUGAAAUGCGUAGAUAUUGGGAGGAACACCAGUGGCGAAGGCGGCUACCUGGACCGGUUCUGACGCUGAGGCGCGAAAGCGUGGGGAGCAAACAGGAUUAGAUACCCUGGUAGUCCACGCCGUAAACGAUGGGUACUCGGUGUCGCGGGUAUCGACCCCUGCGGUGCCUUAGCUAACGCGUUAAGUACCCCGCCUGGGGAGUACGGUCGCAAGGCUGAA